GACGAACGCUGGCGGCGUGCUUAACACAUGCAAGUCGAACGGAGUGGCGAACGGGUGAGUAACACGUGGGUGAUCUGCCUUGCACUUCGGGAUAAGCUUGGGAAACUGGGUCUAAUACCGGAUUGUGCAAGAUGGGCUCGGGGCCUAUCAGCUGGUUGGUGGGGUAAUGGCCUACCAAGGCGUCGACGGGUAGCCGGCCUGAGAGGGUGUACGGCCACAUUGGGACUGAGAUAGGGCCCAGACGCGUACGGGAGGCAGCGGUGGGGAAUAUUGCACAAUGGGCGGAAGCCUGAUGAAGCGGCGCCGCGUGGGGGAUGAAGGCCUUCGGGUUGUAAACUCCUUUCGACAGGGACGCGGUACCUGUAUAAGAAGCACCGGCUAACUACGUGCCAGCAGCCGCGGUAAUUC
rnacentral:rRNA from 1 species